rnacentral:rRNA from 1 species
GGCUCUUUGAUUAAGUGAGAUAAGGAGUCGGACCUGCCCAGUGAAAAUUUUUAACGGCCGCGGUACUCUGACCGUGCAAAGGUAGCAUAAUCAUUUGCCUUAUAAUUGAAGGCUUGUAUGAAUGGUUUGACAAGAAUAUUGCUGUCUCUAUGUGAUUUUAUAGAAUUUUAUUUUGAAGUGAAGAAGCUUGAAUUAUAUUAAUAGACAAGAAGACCCUAUCGAGCUUUAAAGAAAUCUAUGGAAGAUAUAAAUAGUUUUAAAAUAUUAGCUAUGGUAAAUUUUAGUUGGGGCGACUUAGGAACAAUAAAAGCUUCUUAGAUUUAAUAGUAUUCAAUUGAUCCAAAAUAUUUUGAUUAAAGGAAUUAGUUACCGUAGGGAUAACAGCAUAAUCUUCUUUAAGAGUUCUAAUCGAAAAGAGGGUUUGUGACCUCGAUGUUGGACCAGAAUGUCCUGAAGAUGUAGCAGUCUUUAAGGGUUGGUCUGUUCGACCAUUAAAAUUCUACG